UGACGCAGGCGGCGGGGUCGCGCACGCACGAGCAGGGGCGGGCCUGGGGACUUACUUGGUGCUCCGCGGAGACGGGCGGUGCCGUGAAAUAAUGCCUAGGGAAGCGAGACACGCAUGCGCAGCGGCACCACCGACCCGCGGCCCCGCCCCUGCCCGGUGUCUUCUCACCUACCUGGUGCUGACGGACCCUUCCGGGGCAGCCGCAGGAAAACGGGCGGGGGACGAAAGGCUGCUGGCCAUCCUGAGUGCUCUCGCUCCGGGAACAGAGGCAGGAAACAGAUGUCCUGUUUAGGACCAAGCCGUGAGCCUCGUUCGUUCUUCAGCAGGAAGACGACGAAGGCCGUUCCUACAAUGGGUUUCCGAGCAAACCCGGUUUCGGCAGUGUUACAAGGAGGAGAGUUGGCACACUUCCUUGUCUUCAGUAGGGUGGAGUGUGCUUGAGCCGAUGAUGGGGAAAGUCUUCCUUUGAGAAGAUAAAGCUGUUAAGCCUGUUACUCAAGCAGAGUGCUCAGCAUGUGUCUUUCGUUUAUGUGAGUUUCCCUGUCCUCACAUUUGCUUCUGGACACAAAUGUCAAUAAAAUCAUUGGAGGCCCAGAAGGGCACUGGUGUCAGGGACCCAGCGAUGCGGCACCAUGCCACUGACAUCAUGCCUGCACCCAGCGCCUGCUGCCCAGGUCCGGAUGAGCCGCAGCCACCAGCCUGAGUCUGAGCACUGGGACUUCCAGCCUCCAAGUUCCACUGCAGCACAAACUCAGGCCCGGCACCUGAACCUCACCUCUUCUGUCUCCUAAAGGGCAAGGGCCCAGCACUGGCUGCUUGUUAGUGGAAGGGUUAGUUCAUCCUGGACAGUGGAGACAGAAAGAUUUCUCCCCAGGAGCACCCACGGAAGAGGCCCCAUCCAUGCUGGGCUGCAAGGAGGGGGCUUUCACUCUUAGUUUGUUACAGGCGAGAGGAAAACACUCCUACGAGUCACUGCCUUCCGACCCUCUCCUGAGAACACUUGGACCCCAGAGAGGCAGUGAGACCAGAGGGUCGUUUCGUGGCCCCGGGACACCACAGGCUCCAGACGGGAUAGGAGGCAGGGAGACACAGGCCUGGCUCCCCCAGUGCUCCUGUCCCUGAGCUCUGCUCUGCUCUACCCCUCAGGGGUAGGGAUUCUGUCCGGGACGAGAGGGGCCAGGCGGCUGACGUAACAGCAUGGGCGGUCCCGGCUGGCCUCAGGUCCCAUGGCCGCCCACAGAAGGAACCGCUCGUCAGGCCCUGGUCUGGUGCUGAGGACCAGCUGUUACGAUACCCCUUGGUCUUCCAGCUACACCUCUUCCUGAAGAGCUGGAGUUUUUCCACAUGCUUCCACCACUCCAGGCUUUUCUGGGGAAAUUUCAUUGUUUUCAUUUUAUGCUAAAAGUAUGAUUAAAUGAAUUUCUAUUUUUUUAA